UUCAUUUGCGAAUGAUAAAAUUGAUAAUUUCAGCCAAACACAGAAAGAUAAGACCAGGUUACAAAAGGAAGGCUGAACAAGGUAUGGCAUCUGCUAAGAUUGGUCCACCUGCCACCAUGAUGAGUUUUCAGAAUCAGACUUCUACUCGCAGUAUGGAAUAGUUAUAAUAAAAUGAGUGUAAUGGGCAUCGCAUUACCACAUAUGUAUAGGAAUACUUGUUAUCUGUUGGGGAAGAGACACAAGGAAUUGCAAUGCUGUUAUUCCGAGGGGAAAGGGCCUUGCAUCUGUUGCUGCUGCCUGCUAAGUUUGCCAAGGGGCUAUUCCAGAAUUAAGCAUAGACAGCUAGAAUGAGAGAUGCUGAUCAAGCAAAGGAACGGGACAAGCGAGGGUUGUUCAUCGCAUCAUCAAAAAUGCAUAUUUUUAAUUCAUGUCAAAUAUUUUUUAUAUGAAACAAGCAGUACAAUAUUGUUUUAGUUGUCUAAAUAUUCAUUUAGAAAUUAUGUGAAGUUGCUAACUCAUUUACCCAUACUGUCACCUCGAAAAAAAUCCACUCUAUAGACAUAAAUUUUAUUUGUGUUCGUACAAUGAAUUCUCUCAUAUUAUUAGAAAAUUUCAGGUUUAAUAAUUGAUUUAUUUGUAAAAGAAAAUAGUACAGUUGAAUAUGGAGUUAUAUAUUGAAUGCUUAAAUUAGUAUGUAUUUUGCUAAUGUAUUUUACAGCACAGGAAAUAAAAUAAAUUUGCAUUGAGAAGUCCGUUGUUGUAGCAAAUUACUUCUUUUAUAAAAUUGGAGGAUGUUAUGAUAUUAAGAAUUUUUAUGAAA